rnacentral:rRNA from 1 species
UCACACCAGCACCCCGAGUGGUCGGGACGUUUAUUGGGCCUAAAGCAUCCGUAGCCGGUUCUACAAGUCUUCCGUUAAAUCCACCUGCUUAACAGAUGGGCUGCGGAAGAUACUAUAGAGCUAGGAGGCGGGAGAGGCAAGCGGUACUCGAUGGGUAGGGGUAAAAUCCGUUGAUCCAUUGAAGACCACCAGUGGCGAAGGCGG